rnacentral:rRNA from 1 species
CAAGUCGACGGAGCGAAUGAAAGCUUGCUUUUAUGAGCUUAGUAGGCAAACGGGUGAGUAACACGUAGACAACCUGCCGACAGGAUGGGACAACAUUCCGAAAGGAAUGCUAAUACCGGAAUGAAGCGGAGGAGAGGCAUCUCUCCUCCGUGAAAGAUUGGCCUCUGAACAUGCUAUCACCUGUCGAUGGGUCUGCGUCUGAUUAGCUAGUUGGUGAGGUAACGGCUCACCAAGGCGACGAUCAGUAGCCGGUCUGAGAGGAUGAACGGCCACAUUGGGACUGAGACACGGCCCAGACUCCUACGGGAGGCAGCAGUGGGGAAUCUUCCGCAAUGGGCGCAAGCCUGACGGAGCAACGCCGCGUGAGUGAAGAAGGUCUUCGGAUCGUAAAGCUCUGUUGACGGGGACGAACGUGCGUGAUGCGAAUAGUGUCAUGCAAUGACGGUACCUGUCGAGGAAGCCACGGCUAACUACGUG